UCUUUAUUUUUCUUGAGGAACCAACUGUUUCCCAUGCCCAAUUGACAGGGUUCAUGUAGGCUAAUCUGACUCCUCUCCUGGAGCAGUGGGCAUCAACGUGGUGAGAAUCAAGAAGAGCCGAUCCCAAGACUUCUGCUAAAGCACCUAAGGAAGAGGCUGUCUCUGAACUGAGAUUGUUAGAAGAACAGACCCGAAACUCAGCUGGGAGCACAAUCCAUGUUGGGAUCACGCCUGAGAGCCUGCCUGAGACAGAGCCACAGAGAAGAAAGUCAAGGGCACUAAAUGCCGGAGCACCUUGCACCCUUCAAUCAGCGUGGCUGCUGGCGAUGCCCUCAUAGGACUCCAGACCUCCCCCUGGAGAGGCGGUGCUGCGCUCCACGGCCGUGUGAGCUACUGUACCAGUGUGUGGGUCUGUAUGCUGGCACGGGCCGCAGUCUUCUGCCACUGUGACAUUCGCACAAAUGUAGGAUUUCCAUCGUCUCAGACCGCUCAGAGGUGGCCUCCAGCCCUUCUCCAGGCCUUCUCAUUCACUGUACCAUCUGGAAUGCAUCAUUUUCAAAUGCAGACAUGGCCAUACAUGUAAAAGUGCAGGAGCCCCAUGUUACCAACUGCAUCCUGACUUUGGGCUUUCAGGCGGGCAUCUGUAUGUUAGCUACCUGUACCAUCUCUAAGUUUGGGGAAAUGGUUAAUAUCUUACAAAGCAAAACAAUAUGGCAGUAUGCUUUGAGAGUGAGAUUCUAGCAACGUGAAAGUCACCUGGAAAUGAGCAGGUUUCUAUGUAAUAAUGUACUUAUGUGUUGAGAAUG